AAACUCUGGAGGCACCACAAGCAGCUCAGCCGCCUCAGACACCAGAUCCAAGACCAGCAGAGGAUGAUGGACGAGCUCAUUCAUUUACAAUCAUAAACUACUUCAAUUAGAAGUGCCAGAUUUUAUCAAGCAGACAUCAACAUUAACUCUGGCCACAUUAUACAUUUUAUUUUCCUCCUUUUUGUUUGAACCAGGGCCUGUUACUGGAGCAGACUCAUGACAGACAGCUGGAGAAAGAUGCAACACUACAGAAGCUCAUACUGCUGAAUGAUCAGAGGAUCUGAAGGGCCUCCAGGACACGGUUCCCAGACCGAGACCUUCAAAAUGUGGACUCUGAUUGGCCUGUUUUUGUUAACGAUGCUGAGGUUACCAAAGCAACAGAUCACAAAAGUUCAAACGGACUCAGGAGAAGAUCGAGAAACAUCCAACGCAAGCAGACGAAAUCAUUUGAAUGAUCACCUGU